AGAUGGAUUUCGUCUAUGAUUGUACAUUAUGUUUAAUAAACAAGCCACUAAAACAACACAAAACUGCCCCUUUUUAGAAUUGGAACAUACAAUUGACAAAUGGCUGGUUGACCGGAGAACCAAUCAGCAGCCAAAUGAAAAUAAAAAAGCACAGUGCAUAAACAGGCUUGGAAAAUGUUAUAAUUUAUUCCUUCUUCGGAUGCAAACAUAUCCUAACUUUAUAGGAAAUGCAAACCAAUCCGCGUCCACGCCUAGUUUAGCCUUCUUGCUUUCCUAACAAGAAGACAAUGCAGAGACUUAGGCUAUGACAUACAUUAGAGAUGGAUGCAAAUCACUGAAGACAAUAUACAAGUUAUUGACCAGUACAAGAUAAAAUGUGGUCUUAUUUUAGGUGUCGUAAUAUUUUUUUUCUGAUGUGCUAGGAGAGCAUUAAUGGCUUAAUUAUUGUGAUUUAAACUUUACAAGUGAUACAAACUGAGAACACCACAUCUACAGUCUUCAUAAAAAAAACAUCUACAACAGUUUCAGAGGAUAUUACAAAACUUGUAAAAUACUCAAUGAGUGCAAAUUAUAUUUUCAUUACAUUGGAACAUUUCCAAACAUAAAGCUUUUCAUUGAAAAUGUAUAUUUCAACAAAGUUGUUAGUUUUUUUUACAGUUACAUUAGUUACACAUAAAACAAUCCCGUGACAGUCAUGUAAGUGCCCACGACUGAAGAUCAUGUAUACACACAUCGGAGAAAACAAACAAAACGUGUACAGCCAUUAGAAUGUGCAAGUCUGCCAAAAUCCACAAAUGAUAGGAUGUUGACCAUGGACUAAAUCUCAAGUAAGAAAAACCAAUGUCUAUGUAUUUGCCUUGUGUUUUUCUACAUUGUGUGACCUAGAUCACAUAUUCAAAUAAACCACAGAAAUAGAUGGAUGUUGGUUCAUGCUUUGGUGGGGAACAAUCACCAGCCUCAUUAUGCAUCUAUAUUCUACAGUAACUACAGGAACCUGGUUGUUCCUGCUAUGCUGGAUGUCUCAAACCAUAUCCAACACAAUCCAACUACUUUGUAGGCGGAGUCUGUUCAAGUUGACAAGGACCAUGCUCUAAAUUUAAGAGGGUAACAGGAGAGGGGAUGUUCAUGUAGGAGUUUUUUUUUUAUAUAUAUAUAUAUAUAUAUAAAUACAUAGCUCCCAUAAUAGUGUAUCUGGUGGACAAUACAUCAUGUGCUGUUCCUCAUCAUUUUCCUUUCUCAGGUCUGCAUCUGUCCAGAAGGAUCAACUCU
ensembl:lncRNA